rnacentral:rRNA from 1 species
UAGGUAACGGCUUACCAAGCCAUUGAUCGGUACGGGUUGUGAGAGCAAGAGCCCGGAGAUGGAACCUGAGACAAGGUUCCAGGCCCUACGGGGUGCAGCAGGCGCGAAACCUCCGCAAUGUGAGAAAUCGCGACGGGGGGAUCCCAAGUGCCAUUCUUAACGGGAUGGCUUUUCAUUAGUGUAAAGAGCUUUUGGAAUAAGAGCUGGGCAAGACCGGUGCCAGCCGCCGCGGUAACACCGGCAGCUCUAGUGGUAACAAUUUUUAUUGGGCCUAAAGCGUCCGUAGCCGGUUUAAUAAGUCUCUGGUGAAAUCCUGUAGCUUAACUGUGGGAAUUGCUGGAGAUACUAUUAGACUUGAGACCGGGAGAGGUUAGAGGUACUCCCAGGGUAGAGGUGAAAUUCUGUAAUCCUGGGAGGACCGCCUGUUGCGAAGGCGUCUAACUGGAACGGUUCUGACGGUGAGGGACGAAAGUUAGGGGCGCGAACCGGAUUAGAUACCCGGGUAGUCCUAACUGUAAACGAUGCGGACUUGGUGUUGGGGUGGCUUUGAGCUGCUCCAGUGCCGAAGGGAAGCUGUUAAGUCCGCCGCCUGGGAAGUACGGUCGCAAGACUGAAACUUAA